ACCUUUCCGGUUGCAGCCUAGUCUUUUAGGCUGAUGGCUGGUGACUUUUUAGUCACCAGCCU
rfam:Serratia marcescens subsp. marcescens Db11, complete genome